AUUGAACGCUGGCGGCAUGCCUUACACAUGCAAGUCGAACGGUAACAGGUCUUCGGAUGCUGACGAGUGGCGAACGGGUGAGUAAUACAUCGGAACGUGCCUAGUAGUGGGGGAUAACUACUCGAAAGAGUGGCUAAUACCGCAUGAGAUCUACGGAUGAAAGCAGGGGAUCGCAAGACCUUGUGCUACUAGAGCGGCCGAUGGCAGAUUAGGUAGUUGGUGGGAUAAAAGCUUACCAAGCCGACGAUCUGUAGCUGGUCUGAGAGGACGAUCAGGCACACUGGGACUGAGACACGGCCCAGACUCCUACGGUUGGCAGCAGUGGGGAAUUUUGGACAAUGGGCGAAAGCCUGAUCCUGCAAUGCCGCGUGCAGGAUGAAGGCCUUCGGGUUGUAAACUGCUUUUGUACGGAACGAAAAGCCCCGGGUUAAUACCCUGGGGUCAUGACGGUACCGUAAGAAUAAGCACCGGCUAACUACGUGCCAGCAGCCGCCGCGG
rnacentral:rRNA from 1 species